ACGGGGUGCAGCAGGCGCGAAAACUUUACAAUGCUGGCAACAGCGAUAAGGGAACCUCGAGUGCCAGGUUACAAAUCUGGCUGUCGAGAUGCCUAAAAAGCAUUUCAUAGCAAGGGCCGGGCAAGACCGGUGCCAGCCGCCGCGGUAACACCGGCGGCUCGAGUGGUAACCGUUAUUAUUGGGUCUAAAGGGUCUGUAGCCGGCCGGAUAAGUCUCUUGAGAAAUCUGGCAGCUUAACUGUCAGGCUUUCAGGAGAUACUGUCUGGCUCGAGGCCGGGAGAGGUGAGAGGUACUUCAGGGGUAGGGGUGAAAUCUUGUAAUCCUUGAAGGACCACCAGUGGCGAAGGCGUCUCACCAGAACGGACCUGACGGCAAGGGACGAAAGCUAGGGGCACGAACCGGAUUAGAUACCCGUGUAGUC
rnacentral:rRNA from 1 species